rnacentral:tRNA from 1 species
AAAAUCCGUCGACUUUAGAAAUCGUGAGGGUUCAAGUCCCUCUAUCCCCCCAAAAAGACCGAUUUGACUAUUUCUCCUACCCUCUCUUUUUUUUAGUGGUUCAAAAUUCGUUCUCUUUCUCAUUCAUUCUACCUUUUUACAAACGUAUCAGAGCAGAAUUUUUUUUUUCUUUUAUCACAAUCACAAGUGGUGUGGUAUAUAUGAUAUACGUACAAAUGAACAUCUUUGAACAAAGAAUCCCGAUUCACAAUUCAUAUCAUUGCUCAUACUGAAACUUAUAAAUUAUUCUAUUCAAGAAAUCGAAUUCCACGCUCAAGACUUUUAAUACUUUUUUUAUCUUUUUUAAUUGACAUAGACCCCAGUCAUCUAGUAAAAUGAGGAUGAUGCGCCGGUAAUGGUCGGGAUAGCUCAGCUGGUAGAGCAGAGGACUGAAAAUCCUCGUGUCAC